rnacentral:misc_RNA from 1 species
AUCAACACAAACAAUCAAGUCACAGCAAACAAUUAUGGCUCAAAGCAAUCGAACAAAUAUUCACCACCUCAAGGUAACACAUGGCCAAACACAUUGCUAUCUUCAAACAAUUGAUGACACAAAUGCUAAAGUCCAAAGAAAAAACAAAUAAUAGGAGAUAAGAAAUUCUCAAAUCUGGAAAGACCAUCUAAGGUAAUUUAAAACAAGGAUUAAAAUAAAUUCCUCCGACCUAUAAUGGCAAAAUCCUGAGU